rnacentral:rRNA from 2 species
AACGCUAGCUACAGGCUUAACACAUGCAAGUCGAGGGGCAGCAUUUUAGUUUGCUUGCAAACUAAAGAUGGCGACCGGCGCACGGGUGAGUAACACGUAUCCAACCUGCCGAUAACUCGGGGAUAGCCUUUCGAAAGAAAGAUUAAUAUCCGAUAGUAUAUUAAAACCGCAUGGUUUUACUAUUAAAGAAUUUCGGUUAUCGAUGGGGAUGCGUUCCAUUAGUUUGUUGGCGGGGUAACGGCCCACCAAGACUACGAUGGAUAGGGGUUCUGAGAGGAAGGUCCCCCACAUUGGAACUGAGACACGGUCCAAACUCCUACGGGAGGCAGCAGUGAGGAAUAUUGGUCAAUGGACGAGAGUCUGAACCAGCCAAGUAGCGUGAAGGAUGACUGCCCUAUGGGUUGUAAACUUCUUUUAUAUGGGAAUAAAGUAUUCCACGUGUGGGAUUUUGUAUGUACCAUAUGAAUAAGGAUCGGCUAACUCCGUGCCAGCAGCCGCGGUAAUACGGAGGAUCCGAGCGUUAUCCGGAUUUAUUGGGUUUAAAGGGAGCGUAGGUGGAUUGUUAAGUCAGUUGUGAAAGUUUGCGGCUCAACCGUAAAAUUGCAGUUGAAACUGGCAGUCUUGAGUACAGUAGAGGUGGGCGGAAUUCGUGGUGUAGCGGUGAAAUGCUUAGAUAUCACGAAGAACUCCGAUUG